rnacentral:rRNA from 1 species
UACGUAGGUGGCGAGCGUUGUCCGGAUUUACUGGGCGUAAAGAGCGCGCAGGCGGCUUGUCGCGUCGAAUGUGAAAUCUCAGGGCUCAACUCUGACAUUGCAUUCGAUACGGGCAGGCUAGAGUUCGGUAGGGGAGACUGGAAUUCCUGGUGUAGCGGUGAAAUGCGCAGAUAUCAGGAGAACACCGGUGGCGAAGGCGGGUCUCUGGGCCGAUACUGACGCUGAGGAGCGAAAGCGUGGGGAGCGAACAGG